GGAGUUGCAGGCGGAAAUUGGUAAUUGCACAAACCAACCCAACACGCACAUAAAAGAAUAAAAGUUUGUUUCUAAUUUGACCAUACUUGGACUAUUUGAGAUAAUGGGCAUGGGCGGGCCUCUUUGUGUGAAGACGAAGCACGGAACCAUGGUCUGGUCCUUGAGGGGGGGGAGCACGCCUUGGUUGCAUGGUGUGGAAAUUUGCAGGCGAGCACCUAGCUUGGCUGUCCCGUGUACUGAGGUUGUUGUGGGUCUAGUCGGCGGCGUAGUAAACUGACCAGCGAUGGAGGUAAAUCUGGUUGGUAUCGAUGACACGGGGUUGAGGGAGAUGGUGAAGUAUGGUCGGCAUACAUGGGACUUGGUCGGCGGCGUCGCCAGUUUGAAACUUCUUAGUUUCUGUUGCUUGUUGAUCCGUUUGGCUGAUCCGGGUGGUGAAAUAGAGGAGAGAAGCUCUGUCCUUUCGUCACCAUUUUUGCUCCACUGACCCGCGAGAGAUUGGGCUAUGAGAGAAGGUAGAUGAAGACACGAUGGGUGUCUUGAGGAAUUGCUAGUUGUAGCAGCCCUUGCGUAGUGGAGGUGACACAAGCUGAGGCUAUUGAGCAGAUUUUGCAGUGGGGCACAUGUGGGCUUUAUUCUCCGUUGGUCGGCUAGGAGUAGCUGGACCAUGAAUAUGGUUUUUGGUGGAGAUGAACUUCCAGGUUGAGAUAGAUAAGAACGACAUUAAUUUUGUGUCAUUUCUCACAGACGGCGCCAAAUAUUAAUUGGUGAAUCUGUACCUAAUGGAUCAAGACAUAAUCACAAAUAACACAAGUGUUUGAGUAGUUCACCUAUAAUGGAGCUACAUCCAGUAUAGUUUAUUGCUUUAUAUUUGUAUUUGAAGAGGUUACAUUGUACAUGAGAGAAAUAGGGAGAGAGGCUUGAGAGCUCUAGUAGAAGAGUAAUAGAAAGCUUGGGAGAACUUUGGACAGCUCUUGGAGAAAUGAAGAAGUAGCAGCCAAUCCUCCUUUUGCUUGGAGGUGGUGAGCUCCCUUUUAUAGUCCAAGUUAGAAUAGACAAGGUUGAUUGAUGGCUUUGUCAUUUGCAUGGCUCCCCUUAAUUAUAUUUAGGGUCUUGGGCCUUGAGAAGGCAUAGGAGGGGCCAUGGCUAGCUACUCCUUGUUUGGUGGGAUGUGACCUAUGACAAGAGGGGUUAUCCCUUAAUUGGUGGGAUUUGCUAAAGGGAGAAGGUGAGGUCAACUUGGUGCCAACACAUAUCAAGCAUAGCUUUGACACAAUUAGCAGCCUGAAACUAGGAGAUGUAAUCUUCCUAACAUGGAUCGAGAAAGGUUAUAUAGUAAGUGUGCUUUAUGCUUCAGUGGUUGGAUGUUUCAUGUGUGUGUACUGGACUAGACAUUGCUCAUGCAUGCAGUCGGGGUUGUUAGUCAAUACAUAGUAGUCCUGGAAAGCAACAUUGGGAGGUGGUAAAGGGGAUUUUUCAUGUAUCUUCGAGGUACUACGUCUCUGUGUUUAUAGGUGAUUGUGUCUGAGUUCAAAGGUUUUGUCGAUGUAGACUUGGCAAGAGACAUUGAUAAUACGAGGAGUAUUAUUUUGUUAUGUUUGUAAUGUGGGUAGUGUUGUUGUGAGUUGGUCUCAAGAUUACAAGGUGUAUAGCUUUGUCCGAGCAUGGUGACCAGUGAGGCUGCAAAAGAGAUAUGGUUUGGUUGAAAGGCUUCUUGGAGGAAUUGAGGAGGGUUGUGUUUUGUAUAGUGAUAUAGUUAGAGUGCAAUUCACUCGGAUAAAAUCAUGUGUUUCAUUCAAGGACCAAGAAUAUUGAACCAAACUAAAAUUACAUACGCUGAUUUAUGUUGAUAUUUUGACUAAGUUGGCGAUUAACAAACUGAAGUUGUGAUCGAUUUCAGUUGGUCUCUUAGCAUAUGAUGAUGGAGAUGUUGGUUGCUUGAGAUGUGGCCUUGUUAUGUGUGAAGUGCUUGAAGCUUUGGCUGAGUUUCUUGGGAGGUAUCAAGUUAGAGGAGCCCAUGUCCAAAAACCGAUUGGUCACACUACUAGAAAAGAGAGAGAUGUUUGCAAGGCUGUGUUAGAGCGACUAAUUGCCCAUCACAGCGGACCAUUUGAAGCCAUACGAGCGUCUUUCGUGUUUUAUUUCCUACUCAAAAUUUGCUUCAUAUUCGGACUUAAAUUCCUACCCAUGUAACCGUAAGUCUUAUGAACUAUAAAUAUGACUUUUAGGGAGUUGUAUUAUGUUAAGAGAGCUAACCCUAAUUACAAGGGAGUAUGACAAAACACUUUAGCGCUUGUAAUUGUCUUUCCUUCUUUAACAGUGAAAAUCUCAUAGCAACCCGGACACAUAGCACAUAUGGAGUGAAUCUCGUUAACAAAUUCUUGUGUUGUUGUAUAUAAUUUGUUUGUUUUUGUGUUUCUCAAUUGCGUUUAUAUUGUUUCACAGAUGUUUUUUUUGUAUAAGAUGAGAUAAGGGCAUGAUUUCCUAAUACCUUUCCAAAUCACCUACUAGAUUUGGCAUGUUAAUUUUUAGUAACAUCAAUUGGGUUUCAAGAUGAAUAAGUUGCUAGCUAUCUCCAAUAUCAUAAACAUUAUGGCUUUUAGCACUAAAUUUCUCUGAAAUAAUAGCAUAAUAUACCAUUAUAAUUUGUAAACAGGGAGGAAAGUAGGGAGGGGUAAUAGAAAAUACAUGAUGUUUACACAAUAAUAACGUCCGAGUGUCUGCAUAGGAGAAUUUCUAUAUAUAUAAUGAAGAGUAUUGUACACAAGUUACAUCAAGGAUAACAUGACAUUAACCAAGAGUCUUAUACUCUGAAUCAAGCAUGUAUCAGCUGUAUAAUAGCUUGCUACCUAUAAAGAGGUAAAAUUUAAAUCGAUGGAGAUAUGAGUUAUGAGGAACAAAGUAGUGAAUAUAGUUUCGUACUCAAGGCCAAAUACCAUACUCAGCUAACCUCCACGAGCUGAUUUCAAACUCUUUGUGGCUCAGAAAACUCCAUGGGUGGUGGUAGUCAGAGGAGCACUCACUCCACCCAUUAUGAGAAUUGCUGUGCUUGGACUCCUCCGUUCCCUCAUUCAUCACAAGAUGAUCAUUUUGGUGGGGUUGCAUUAUCGCGCCUAGUAACAAGAUUAGAGAAGCCAUAAAAAUAUAUGUGGGUUUGAGGGCUGAAUUGCCACCAGAAGCCUUGAGCUUCCUCUCCUCACCCGUCUAUGAAUUGGAGCGUCAAACAGUUGCAUCACCCUAUAUAUAUAUAUAUAUAUAUAUAUAUAUAUAGUUUUUCCCACCACAUUUUUGACUACUUGAGAAAGAAAUGCAGGUGUCAACAAGUUGUAGAUAGAUACUUCAUGUUGCAUUUACUUUUGGCACAAGAAAUGCCUUUAACGUAAAAAAUCUUUCAUGCAAAUCUUGCCAUGCGAUCAGUUUUGUAAAGGAGUUGGCCAUCUAAAGCCAUGCCACUUUUACAUGACUCAAUAAGCGUUGGACAACCCACAGAGAGAGAGAGAGAGAGAGAGAGAGAGAGAGAGAGAGAGAGAGAGAGAGAGAGAGAGAGAGAGAGAGAACAUUUUGGGACCAUGGUAAUAAUGAACUACGAAGGAGGAAGAAAGCUAGAGAGAGAACAUAGGAAUUUCUAAGAAAUCUUUUGUGUUU
rnacentral:lncRNA from 1 species